CACUCUGGUAUUCGAUUAGUUCAAUAUUCGCUUCACAUUUCCCUCCUGAUGCUAUAACUAUGCCUAUGUCACUAAAAUUCUGCUGUUCAUAUUUCGAAUAUUACCCAGUUGUCAAUGUAUGGUUGCUGAUGCUAUCAACCAUGUUGAUUCCUGAGAGGUGUUUGAGAACGUUUCAUAGCGACCUCAUUUGACAUUAAACCAGACUGUAUUAUCAAAUUUCUGUUGUAUGUCCAAUGUCACCCACAAGUGGCUUGUUCAUGGUAUCAGCCGAUUUUUUUAAUAACUACCGAGAGAAAUACGAUAAAUAAUGAA
rnacentral:sRNA from 1 species